UCCAGCAGUAGUCAGCUGUCCGGAGAUCAUUCCAGUGAUGGUGUUACACUGCUGGUAGAGCAGUGUCUGUCUCUCUCAUCCGGUUGCCCUCGUCACUGUUCUGGUGGCGUCUGGCACUGGUGCGAGGCAGGACUGCUUCCUCGAGAGUGUGCUAAGCACUCACUCUGGCUGCUUGGUGCUAGUCUGGGAGCAGACACG
rnacentral:snoRNA from 1 species